GGAGGGUAUCCGAAUGGCUAGGAACCUGAUUCGAAAUCAGGCGCCCCUUAUGGGGUUGCGGGUUCGAGUCCCGUGCCCUCCG
rnacentral:tRNA from 1 species